rnacentral:tRNA from 1 species
GGUGGCUCAGUGUUAGAGUGCUUGCCUUGCAUGCAUGAGGCCCUGGGUUUGAUUCCACAGCACCA